UACGUAGGGUGCGAGCGUUGUCCGGAAUUAUUGGGCGUAAAGAGCUUGUAGGCGGUUUGUCGCGUCUGCUGUGAAAUCCCGAGGCUCAACCUCGGGUCUGCAGUCGAUACGAGCAAACUAGAGUGUUGCAGGGGAGACUGGAAUUCCUGGUGUAGCGGUGAAAUGCGCAGAUAUCAGGAGGAACACCGGUGGCGAAGGCGGGUCUCUGGGUAGUAACUGACGCUGAGGAACGAAAGCGUGGGUAGCGAACAGG
rnacentral:rRNA from 1 species